UGACCCUUCAGAUGUGCUAUAG
rnacentral:siRNA from 1 species